GUGCGUCGUUGUUGUAUCUGCGGCCAGAGUUGGAAAGUUCUUUCGGGUUCUUUUUUAAUUUUGGUCGUAGUUGACUCGAUUCGCUCCACCCAGUCAAUCGUUCGGGGUGCCCUUCACCGGGUGUCUCGGGCGGCCGGCAACGUUUACUUUGAACAAAUUAGAGUGCUCAAAGCAGGUGUAUCCCAACGCCUGAAUAUCGCAGCAUGGAAUGAUGGAAUAGGACCUCGGUCCGAUUUUGCUGGUCUUUUACUUUUGGACCCGAGGUAAUGGUCAAUAGAGACGGACGGNGGCAUUCGUACUGCGGCGACAGAGGUGAAAUUCUUGGACCGCCGCAAGACGAACAACAGCGAAGGCAUUUGCCAAGAAUGUUUUCCUUGAUCAAGAACGAAAGUUAGAGGUUCGAAGGCG
rnacentral:ncRNA from 1 species